ensembl:snRNA U6 U6 spliceosomal RNA
CACUGAUAAAGAGAAAAUUAGCAUGGCCCCUGCGCAAGGAUGACAUGCAAACUCAUGAAACGUUCCAUAUUUUU